GCGUGAAUGAAGAAGGCCUUAGGGUUGUAAAGUUCUUUUAGUGGGGAAGAUAAUGACGGUACCCACAGAAAAAGCCCCGGCUAACUCCGUGCCAGCAGCCGCGGUAAUACGGAGGGGGCUAGCGUUGUUCGGAAUUACUGGGCGUAAAGCGCACGUAGGCGGCUUGGAAAGUUGGAGGUGAAAGCCCAGAGCUUAACUCUGGAACUGCCUUCAAAACUCCCAAGCUAGAGUUCGGAAGAGGAGAGUGGAAUUCCCAGUGUAGAGGUGAAAUUCGU
rnacentral:rRNA from 1 species